UUAACUGAAGCCAAAAAGAGGCAUUUCAUUGUUAAUGAAAAUACUGAUUUUUUAAAUCCAGUUAAA
rnacentral:tRNA from 1 species